rnacentral:rRNA from 1 species
CUUUACUGUAACCUGGAAUUGGGUUCGGGCUUUGCUUGCGCAGGAUAGGUGGGAGGCGUUGAAAGUUCCCUUGUGGGGGGACUGGAGCCAACGGUGAGAUACCACUCUGGCGAGGCUAGAAUUCUAACCCUGACCCGUGAUCCGGGCGGGAGACAGUUUCAGGUGGGCAGUUUGACUGGGGCGGUCGCCUCCGAAAAGGUAACGGAGGCGCGCAAAGGUUACCUCGGUCCCGUUGGAAAUGGGACGAUAGAGUGCAAAAGCAGAAGGGAGCUUGACUGUGAGACCUACAAGUCGAACAGGGACGAAAGUCGGCUUUAGUGAUCCGACGGCACCGCGUGGAAGGGCCGUCGCUCAACGGAUAAAAGUUA